rnacentral:rRNA from 1 species
CGCCCUCCCUCCGCCGCCAUCAGACCUCCGUACGGGGGGCAGCAGUGGGGAAUAUUGCGCAAUGGGCGGAAGCCUGACGCAGCGACGCCGCGUGGGGGAUGAAGGCCUUCGGGUUGUAAACCUCUUUCACCAGGAGCGAAUCCAGACGGUACCUGGGGAAGAAGCGCCGGCUAACUACGUGCCAGCAGCCGCGGUAAUAC